rnacentral:rRNA from 1 species
AGAACGAACGCUGGCGGCAUGCCUAAUACAUGCAAGUCGAACGAAGGCUUCGGCCUUAGUGGCGCACGGGUGCGUAACGCGUGGGAAUCUGCCCCUUGGUUCGGAAUAACAGUUGGAAACGACUGCUAAUACCGGAUGAUGACGAAAGUCCAAAGAUUUAUCGCCAAGGGAUGAGCCCGCGUAGGAUUAGCUAGUUGGUGAGGUAAAGGCUCACCAAGGCGACGAUCCUUAGCUGGUCUGAGAGGAUGAUCAGCCACACUGGGACUGAGACACGGCCCAGACUCCUACGGGAGGCAGCAGUAGGGAAUAUUGGACAAUGGGCGAAAGCCUGAUCCAGCAAUGCCGCGUGAGUGAUGAAGGCCUUAGGUUGUAAAGCUCUUUUGGCAGGGAAGAAACGGCGUCCCUUAAUACGGGCGUCGACGUGACGGUACCUGCAGAAUAAGCAACGGCUAACUACGUGCCAGCAGCCGC